GAUGAACGCUGGCGGCGUGCUUAACACAUGCAAGUCGAACGGAAAGGCUCCUGCUUGCAGGGGUACUCGAGUGGCGAACGGGUGAGUAACACGUGGGUGAUCUGCCCUGCGCUUCGGGAUAAGCUUGGGAAACUGGGUCUAAUACCGGAUAGGACCGCAUUUUGGAUGGUGUGGUGGAAAGUUUUUUCGGUGUGGGAUGAGCUCGCGGCCUAUCAGCUUGUUGGUGGGGUAAUGGCCUACCAAGGCGUCGACGGGUAGCCGGCCUGAGAGGGUGUACGGCCACAUUGGGACUGAGAUACGGCCCAGACUCCUACGGGAGGCAGCAGUGGGGAAUAUUGCACAAUGGGCGCAAGCCUGAUGCAGCGACGCCGCGUGGGGGAUGACGGCCUUCGGGUUGUAAACUCCUUUCGCUAGGGACGAAGAGUAAUUGACGGUACCUGGAGAAGAAGCACCGGCUAACUACGUG
rnacentral:rRNA from 1 species